rnacentral:rRNA from 1 species
CCUACGGGACGCACCAGUGGGGAAUAUUGCACAAUGGGCGCAAGCCUGAUGCAGCCAAGCCGCGUGUAUGAAGAAGGCCCUAGGGUUGUAAAGUACUUUCAGUCGGGAGGAAGGCGUUGAUGCUAAUAUCAUCAACGAUUGACGUUACCGACAGAAGAAGCACCGGCUAACUCCGCGCCAGCAGCCGCGGUAAUACGGAGGGUGCAAGCGUUAAUCGGAAUUACUGGGCGUAAAGCGCACGCAGGCGGUUGAUUAAGUUAGAUGUGAAAUCCCCGGGCUUAACCUGGGAAUGGCAUCUAAGACUGGUCAGCUAGAGUCUUGUAGAGGGGGGUAGAAUUCCAUGUGUAGCGGUGAAAUGCGUAGAUAUAUGGAGGAACACCAGUGGCGAAGGCGACUCUCUGGUCUGUAACUGACGCUGAGGCUCGAAAGCGUGGGGAGCAAACAGGAUUAGAUACCCCGGUAGUC